AACGUAGGGGGCGAGCGUUGCCCGGAUUCACUGGGCGUAAAGCGCGUGUAGGCGGUCCGUUAAGUCGGAUGUGAAAUCUCUGGGCUCAACCCAGAAAUCGCAUCCGAUACUGGCGGACUUGAGGACGGUAGAGGUCGGUGGAAUACCCGGUGUACCGGUGAAAUGGACAGAUAUCGGGUGGAACACCAGUGGCGAAGGCGGCCGACUGGGCCGAUCCUGACGCUGAGACGCGAAAGCUAGGGGAGCGAACCGG
rnacentral:rRNA from 1 species